CAGCAGCCGCGGUAAUACGUAGGGUGCGAGCGUUAAUCGGAAUUACUGGGCGUAAAGCGUGCGCAGGCGGUUAUAUAAGACAGAUGUGAAAUCCCCGGGCUCAACCUGGGACCUGCAUUUGUGACUGUAUAGCUAGAGUACGGUAGAGGGGGAUGGAAUUCCGCGUGUAGCAGUGAAAUGCGUAGAUAUGCGGAGGAACACCGAUGGCGAAGGCAAUCCCCUGGACCUGUACUGACGCUCAUGCACGAAAGCGUGGGGAGCAAACAGGAUUAGAUACCCCCGUAGUCCCUGUCUCUUAUAC
rnacentral:rRNA from 1 species